rnacentral:rRNA from 1 species
AACGUAGGAGACAAACGUUAUCCGGAGUUACUGGGCGUAAAGGGCGUGUAGGCGGUUUGUUAAGUCUGGCGUGAAAGCUCUCGGCUAAACCGGGAGAGGUCGUUGGAUACUGGCGAACUAGAGGAUGGUAGAGGCGUGUGGAAUUCCGGGUGUAGCGGUGAAAUGCGUAGAUAUCCGGAGGAACACCGUGGCGAAGGCGGCUUCCUGGACCGACACUGACGCUGAGGCGCGAAAGCCAGGGGAGCAA